AUCCGGGAAGAUCAUGGCCUUGAGGGCUCUAGAUAGUCUUGGGAUGCUAGAUUUUAGAGGACCCUUUAGAGGAUUAAACAGGGGUCCUAGAUCAUCUUAUAUCUUUGAUAAAUUUUAAUAAUGACUUGGUUCUGUAGGGGAACAAUCUAUUGGACGAGAGGACGCUGAGCAAAGUCCUGUGCAUUCCGGUUUAUAGAUCACCGUGAGGGCGGGUGAUUACUUGUCGGAAUUGUCAAUAAAGGGUAAGAAUCCUUAUACGCCAAUCCUACAUGAUAUACAUAUUUUUGCACUAUAUAUGUUUGAUAUGCUAUGAUCCAGACAAAGCAAAAUAGUUUUAUAUUUAAUUAUAUUUUGAUCGUGUUGGCUUGUGGUUGGUAGUGUGAUGGAUGUAUGUAUGUGUAUAACUUAUACCUGCAUAAUUGAAUUUAUGAAUGUGGUGGUAUGGACUAACCAUGUUAUAGUGAUUGCCCUGUCACGGGCCGGAAACGUGACCAUGGUUAGUCUAGGCUGGAUAUAAGAUGAAAAAAGGAAUUGAUGUGUGUGUGUGAAUUGAUUAA
rnacentral:lncRNA from 1 species